CAAGAAGUAGUUUAAUAAAAAUAUUAACAUUGGAAGUUAGGGAUUAAAAUUGUAUUUACUUUUUGA
rnacentral:tRNA from 1 species